GGGCCUGUAGUUUAGUGGUAAAAUACCUCAUUUGCAAUGAGGAGACGCGAGUUCGAUUCUCGCCGGGUCCACCA
rnacentral:tRNA from 1 species